CUUAAGAAUCUAAUCCUUCAGUUCCUGCUUCAGAAACAAUGCUCUGUUUUCAUGUCAAUGGGGGUUUUAAGGAAGGGUACUGCAAGACUAUCAAGUAAGUCCUUGAAAGGGGAAUCCUGCUUGUGUGAAAAAUAUGUACAACUCUAAGGGGAUAUUGCUGUUUGUUGUCAUUGAAAUGGAAGGAUAUUCUCAAGGUUCUGUCCAUGCCUUCACCUUGAUCUUCAUUUUGACUUCU